rnacentral:rRNA from 1 species
GGACUACUGGGGUUUCUAAUCCUGUUUGCUCCCCACGCUUUCGCGCCUCAGCGUCAGUAUCGGUCCAGAGCGCCGCCUUCGCCACCGGUGUUCUUCCCAAUAUCUACGAAUUUCACCUCUACACUGGGAAUUCCACGCUCCUCUCCCGACCUCAAGUCCCGCCGUCCCGAGCGCAAUUCCCAGGUUGAGCCCGGGGCUUUCACACUCGACUGACAGGACCGCCUGCGCGCCCUUUACGCCCAGUGAUUCCGAACAACGCUCGCCCCCUUCGUAUUACCGCGGCUGCUGGCAC